rnacentral:rRNA from 1 species
UACGAGAGGCCCAAACGUUAUUCGGAAUUACUGGGCUUAAAGAGUUCGUAGGCGGCAUGAAAAGCAGGGUGUGAAAGCCCUCGGCUCAACCGAGGAAUUGCGCUCUGAACUGUCGUGCUUGAGGAACCUAGAGGUGAGCAGAACAGAUGGUGGAGCGGUGAAAUGCGUUGAUAUCAUCUGGAAUACCGGAGGCGAAGGCGGCUCACUGGGGGUUCUCUGACGCUGAGGAACGAAAGCCAGGGUAGCGAACGGG